rnacentral:rRNA from 1 species
AUUGAACGCUGGCGGCGGGCCUAACACAUGCAAGUCGAACGAGUGGCGGACGGGUGAGUAAUGUCUGGGAAACUGCCUGAUGGAGGGGGAUAACUACUGGAAACGGUAGCUAAUACCGCAUACCAUCAGAUGUGCCCAGAUGGGAUUAGCUAGUUGGUGGGGUAACGGCUCACCAAGGCGACGAUCCCUAGCUGGUCUGAGAGGAUGACCAGCCACACGGGAACUGAGACACUGUCCAGCCCCGUACGGGAGGCAGCAGUGGGGAACAUUGCACAAUGGGCGCUAGGUUGAUGCAGCCAUGGCGCGUGUCUGAAGAAGGCCUUCGGGUCGUAAAGUACUUCAAGCGGGGAGGCGUUACCCGACGAAGAAGCACCGGCUAACUCCGUGCCAGCAGCCGCGGUAAUUC